rnacentral:rRNA from 1 species
AUUGAACGCUGGCGGCAUGCCUUACACAUGCAAGUCGAACGGCAGCGCGGACUUCGGUCUGGCGGCGAGUGGCGAACGGGUGAGUAAUACAUCGGAACGUACCCUGUUGUGGGGGAUAACUAGUCGAAAGAUUAGCUAAUACCGCAUACGACCUGAGGGCGAAAGUGGGGGACCGCAAGGCCUCACGCAGCAGGAGCGGCCGAUGUCUGAUUAGCUAGUUGGUGGGGUAAAGGCCCACCAAGGCGACGAUCAGUAGCUGGUCUGAGAGGACGAUCAGCCACACUGGGACUGAGACACGGCCCAGACCCCUACGGGAGGCAGCAGUGGGGAAUUUUGGACAAUGGGGGCAACCCUGAUCCAGCAAUGCCGCGUGUGUGAAGAAGGCCUUCGGGUUGUAAAGCACUUUUGUCCGGAAAGAAAUCGCGCUGGUUAAUACCUGGCGUGGAUGACGGUACCGGAAGAAUAAGCACCGGCUAACUACGUGCCAGCCGCCGCCGUAA